rnacentral:rRNA from 1 species
AUGCCGGAUGCUCCGACUCCUCGCAUGGGGUGUCGGGAAAGAUUAUAUCGGUAUGGGAUGGGGUCGCGUCCUAUCAGGUAGUCGGCGGGGUAACGGCCCACCGAGCCUACGACGGGUAGCCGGCCUGAGAGGGCGACCGGCCACAUUGGGACUGAGAUACGGCCCAGACUCCUACGGGAGGCAGCAGUGGGGAAUAUUGCACAAUGGGCGCAAGCCUGAUGCAGCGACGCCGCGUGCGGGAUGACGGCCUUCGGGUUGUAAACCGCUUUUGAUCGGGAGCAAGCCUUCGGGUGAGUGUACCUUUCGAAUAAGCACCGGCUAACUACGUGCCAGCAGCCGCGGUAAUACGUAGGGUGCAAGCGUUAUCCGGAAUUAUUGGGCGUAAAGGGCUCGUAGGCGGUUCGUCGCGUCCGGUGUGAAAGUCCAUCGCUUAACGGUGGAUCUGCGCCGGGUACGGGCGGGCUGGAGUGCGGUAGGGGAGACUGGAAUUCCCGGUGUAACGGUGGAAUGUGUA